CGGUGGCACCUUCUCCUUGUCGCGCUUGGGCCUUGAAGAAAUUCCCCGGCUUAUUUAUAGCCCGUGUUUAUUUUUACUCAAGUCCUGAACUCGAGCCUCUAGAAGUAGUCUGAGCGGCGGCAGAUCGGGAGGGAAUCCUGGCUUUGCGACCACGGAUCCAGUAACCGGGUUUGUUCCGUGACCUGGGGGCACCCCGCGGGGCCGAGAAGAGGGACAGACCCAAGUUCAGUGCUGGGCUAGGGGCGCUGCCGGAGACCCCGUGCAGGCAAAAAGCGACCUUGGCCAUCCAGCCCCUCCCGCGGUGCACUUUAACCUCAACCCCUCCACUCCAGGUGCAAAAUCAGACCGCCCUCGUCCGCCCUUACUGGUUGUUCCCUUCCGAGAUCGGAUCAGUGGCAUCAGACUUUUGAGGAAAGUGAUGACUUAGGUUUUGCUUGACCCAGAAGCUCAGACUUACGCAUCCUCUUAGUCUCUUGGGGACUCCAUGCGGUGACGUGGAGCCCUUCACAGAAACAGGAGGGGAAUGCCUACUUCGGUCAGCUGGAUGCUGACCAAAAGCGUCCACCCUGUCCAGGCACUUGGUCCUGACCCAUCCUAAAGCAGACAUGAACGAAUGCCAGUCUCAGCAUCCCUUAAAAUUCAUCAACAACGGGACUGCAGAAGGUGGCCGGAUCUGGAGUUGACGCUUCCUGUCCAGAACAGACAGGACUGUGACUGCCUGUGCAGAGGUGUCAUGGGAUCCCAGCUACAGAACCUAAGAGGGAGGAAGAAAGAGUUUUUUUUCCUCAACAGUAUUCUCUAAUUGGACUAAUUAAAAUAGGUGGUCCUAUAAUUCAAUCUGAUCUGUAUGAUUUUAUGAUAUGAAUAAUUAGUUCUGAGGAAGAAACAUCCAAUUUAUCACCAUAACAUGGAACCAUUUGAAAAUUCUUUCCAGAUUUAUCUGUGUCCUCCCCAGACGCCCCAAGAAUAUCCAUUUCCUGAGUCUGGAGACAAAGCAGAUAAGAGAUCCUGACUGCAGAGAUUUGAUAUUUAAAACAACACAAAUGUGAAUAUGCUCUUCUUCCAUUUGCCAGGGAUUCACCACCUGGCUGCUCUCACUGGCUGUGCUAAUUGGUCAUGAGAAGGAAGUGGCUAAUUAAUUCCUUGGAAUGAGUGUGGGCGUGCUGGAGGUGACCCAGAGCCUGAGAAAUAAAUGCAGUUUAGCUUAGCAGUAAGCCAGGGAGGGUCCUCACUGUCACCUCCGUCAUCCUCCUUCUCUCCCUCUUCCUCCCCGUCAUCGUCAUACACUCAUCAUACCUGCCCCGGAACACAGUGCCCAGCACCGAAGCAAGCACUUCACAAGCAUCAUCGCACAGUCACGGAGGAUCAGAGUCUUUCCUGGGAUUCCAUUCCUAUCCACAACAUCAUGAUGACAGGGACAGACAGUGGGCAGCGUGCAUCUUCCUGUCUUGAGUAGAGCAGCAAAUGCAAGCUGGUUACUGGGUCCAAAGAGAAGACAAACCAGUUCAGGACCAGGUUUAGCUUCUUAGAAAGAAGAGCUCCCAGGAAUAACUGAAUCAUUCAUUCCGCAAAGAUCUGGAGGGCCUGUAAAGAGCAGGGACUGUGCUGGGCGCUGGGGUUACAGGGACGAGCCAGGCAGAGAUGGUCCUGACCUCAGUCUUCCAUUUCUUUCUUUUUUUUUUUUUUUUUGCAGUA